AGUUUUAACAAUUUUUUGUGGGGUAUAUUAGGUUUUUCUACCUACAAGAUCAUGUUACCUAUAAACAGAGAUAAUUUUACUUCUUUCUUUCCAAUUUAGACUUCUUUAUUUCUUUUUCUUGCCUAAUUGCUCUGGCUAGUACUUACAAUACCAGCUUGAAUAGAAGUGGUAAGAGUAGGCAUCCUCAUUUUGAUCUGGAUCUUAGAGAAAAAGCUAUCUAAUUUUCACUAUUGAGUAAUAUGUUCACUGUGGGUUUUUCAUAUUAGUUUUAUUAUGUUGAGAUAGUAUGCAUCUGUUCAUAGUUUGUUAAGUAAUUGUCAUGAAAGAGUUUAAAAUUCUGUUAUUGUAUUAUGUGUAUUAAAUUGAUUAAUUUUUGUAAGUUGAACUGCUCUUGUAUUCCAAGAGUAGAUAUCACUUAUCAGUUAGACAUGAUGUAUACUCUUGUUAAUAUGCGCUGAAUUUGGUUUGUCUGCAUUUUGUCAAGGAGUUUUGCAUGAAUGUUAUGGGGGAAAUUGGUCUGUAAUUUUCUGGUAGUAUCUUAGUCCAGCAUUGAUAUCAGGAUAAUGUUGACCUUAUAGAAUAAGAAGUUUUUCUGUCUCUUCAACUUUUUGGAAAAGUUGGUAUAAUUGGUGUUAGUUCUGCAAGAAUUUGGUAGAACUCUCCAAUUAAACCAUCAGGUCCAAGACUUUUCUUUGUUGGAAGUUGUUUGAUUGCUAAUUAAAUCUCCUUAGUAGUUACAAAUCUACUUGGGUUUUCUUUUCUUUUCUUCCUUUCCACCUUUUUAUUGGUGCAAUAUAGUUGUACAUAAUGAUUUGUUGCUACAUAUUUGCCUAUGCACACAAUUUAACAAUAUAAUUGGGCCAAUGUCACUUCCCAGAAAUUCAAUAGUCUACUUAUAUUUUCUAUUUCUAAAUGAUUUAAUCUUGGUAAGAUUUUUUUUUUUUUAUGUUUUUAGGAAUUUCUCCAUUUCAGUAGUUUAUCCAUUUGCUGGAACACAAUUGUGCAUAGAACUUUCUGUAAUUCUUAUAUUUGGUAGAAUCCAUAAUAAUAACUGAUUUGAGUGACUUGAUGAAUAAUCCUCCUCCUUGUCCUCUUCUUCCUCUUACUCUUUUUGUUUUUCUCGUUAGAUUAAGAUUUGUCUAUUUUAUUUAUUGUUCUCUUCAAAGAAACAACUUUUGGUUUCAUUUUCUCUAUUCUCUAUUUAAUUGAUCUCUAUUCUAAUCUUCAAUAUUUUAUUCAUUUUAUUAGCUUUAGGUUAGUUUAUUCUUCUUUUCAAGUACCUUAAGUUAGUCGUUGACUUGAGAUCAUUAUUUCUUUUUGAUGUGUUUAUAACUAUAAACUGAUUUUGCUGUG
rnacentral:lncRNA from 1 species